AAUCAACGCUGGCGGCGUGCCUAACACAUGCAAGUCGAACGCGAAAGCCCGCAAGGGUAAGUAGAGUGGCGCACGGGUGAGUAACACGUGGACAACCUGCCUUCGAGUGGGGAAUAACCUUCCGAAAGGAGGGCUAAUACCGCAUAACACCUCGGGGACACAAGUCUUGGGGUUGAAAAGAGCAAUUUGCUCGAAGAGGGGUCCGCGCCUGAUUAGCUAGUUGGUGAGGUAACGGCUCACCAAGGCUUCGAUCAGUAGCCGUCCUGAGAGGGAGCACGGCCACACUGGAACUGAGACACGGUCCAGACUCCUACGGGAGGCAGCAGUGGGGAAUUUUGGCAAUGGGCGAAAGCCUGACCAAGCAACGCCGCGUGGGUGAUGAAGUAUCUUGGUACGUAAAACCCUUUCGGCAGGGGACGAACCUAA
rnacentral:rRNA from 1 species